UAACCGGAUAGUCCUGAUGAU
rnacentral:miRNA from 1 species